ACUCAAAUGAAUUGACGGGGGCUCACACAAGCGGUGGAGGAUGUGGUUUAAUUCGAAGCAACGCGAAGAACCUUACCAGGUCUUGACAUACCGGGAUUAAGCAUGUGAAAGCACGCGGAUUGCCCCUCAAAGGUGUAACCGGAACAGGUGCUGCAUGGCUGUCGUCAGCUCGUGCCGUGAGGUGUUAGGUUAAGUCCUUUAACGAGCGAAACCCCUACGUUCAGUUACCAGCGCGUGAUGGCGGGGACUCUGGACGGACUGCCGCGAAAGUAGGAGGAAGGUGGGGACGACGUCAAGUCAUCAUGGCCUUUAUGACCUGGGCUACACACGUCCUACAAUGGGUGGUACAACGGGAAGCAAAACCGCAAGGCGAAGCCAAUCCCUGAAAGCCACCCUCAGUUCAGAUUGUGGGCUGCAAUUCGCCCACAUGAAGCCGGAAUCGCUAGUAAUCGCGGAUCAGCUACGCCGCGGUGAAUAUGUUCCUGAGCCUUGUACACACCGCCCGU
rnacentral:rRNA from 1 species